GCUUUGCUGUGGUACCGCUGAGUGGCUGCUGCUCUUCAUGGCGGGCCGGGCGCUGCCGCUGGCGCUCUUGCUCCUGCUCUUGCUCACCCUGUUGUGUGCCCGGCCGAGCCUCUGCGGCACCGCUCCGGCCUCCUCCUCACAGCCCGUGACCGCUCGGCUGGCGGCGAAGUGGCCGGCGACCCCGCUGCUGCUGGAGGCGAGUGAAUUCAUUGCAGAAGAUGGUAAUGAGAAGUUUUGGCAGUUCUUGGAAACUGUACGGGAAUUAACAGUUUAUAAGCAAGGAGAUUCGGAGUAUUCCUAUUACAAUUUAAUCUUGAAAAAAGCAGGACAAUUUUUAUCCAAUUUGCAAAUCAAUCUGUUGAAGUUUGCACUUUCCAUACGGGCUUAUUCUCCAACUGUUCAGAUGUUUCAGCAGAUUGCAGCUGAUGAACCUCCACCAGAAGGUUGCAGUGCAUUUGUGGUUAUCCAUGAGAAGCACACCUGUAAGACUAAUGAAAUAAAAAAGCUGCUGAAGAAGGCUACUAAGAGACCCAGGCCAUAUCUUUUUAAAGGAGACCAUAAAUUCCCAGCUGUCAAAGAGGAUGGCCCAGUGGUUGUUCUGUAUGCAGAAAUGGGUACAAAAGACUUUGCCAAAUUCCACAAGAUUUUAUCUGAGAAGGCACAAAAGGAGGAAAUUGUUUAUGUUCUCCGGCAUUAUGUUCAGAAACCAGGUUCCAGGAAAAUGUAUUUAUCUGGAUAUAGUGUGGAACUUGCAAUAAAGAGUACAGAAUAUAAAGCAGUAGAUGACACACAGGUUAAAGGAGCAAAUGAGACAAAAGAAGAGGAAGAUGAGGAAGAGGAAGAGGAAAGUGAUGUCCAAGGAUUUCUCUUUGGCAAGUUAAAACAGAUAUAUCCCGAUCUGAAAAAUAACCUGAAAAAGUUUAAAAAACAUCUAAUUGAAACUACUAACAACAUGGAACCGCUGAAGGUUUGGGAGCUACAGGAUCUUAGUUUUCAAGCAGCUGCUCGAGUUAUGUCUACCCCUGUUUAUGAUGCUUUAAAGGUAAUGAAAGACAUUGCUCAGAACUUCCCAAUAAGAGCCAGAUCACUGACAAGAGUGACCAUAGACAAGGAAAUGCGAAAUGAAAUAGAAGAAAAUCAGAAGCAUUUUCAUGAAACACUUGGAAUCCAACCUGGAGAAGCACAUUUAUUUCUAAAUGGCCUUCCUAUUGACUUGGAUUUUCAUGAUCCUUUUAGUAUCUUAGAGACUCUUAAACUGGAAGGAAAAGUGAUGCAUGGCCUUCAUGAACUUGGAAUCAAAGAGGAGAUCCUGAGUAAAUUUAUGAGGUUGCAUAUACAUCCUGCAGAUAACAGUUAUGCGCUAGAUAUUCGUCACUCUUCGAUAGUAUGGAUUAAUAAUAUAGAACAAGAUCACAGCUAUAGCACAUGGCCUGAAAGCUAUCAGGAACUGCUAAGACCCACGCUUCCUGGAGUUCUGCAGCAGAUUAGACGCAAUUUACAUAAUUUGGUACUUUUUGUUGAUCCUGUCCAAGAAGAUACAGGUGAUUACAUGAAAGUGGCAGAGUUAUUCUACCAUUAUAAUGUACCACUUAGAAUUGGAAUUGUUUUCAUUUUAAAUACAAAAGAAGAAAUUGAUGGAAAUGAAGAUGCUGGAAUAGCUCUUUGGAGAAGUUUUAGUUACAUUGCGGAGGAAUAUGACACCUUUCAGGCCUUUACCUCAAUAAUUAAGAUGUACCAUGAAGUGAGAGAUGGAAGUGUUCUAACAGUAGAUGAUGUGAAAGAUGUCCUUAGAAGUGAAUACCCCAAUGCUGAUGUUCAGAGUAUACUAGGUGUUCAUUCUGAACAUGAUGAAGGGAGGAAGGCAGGAGCAACCUUUUAUAAAAGGAGUGGCCUGGGCCCAUUGCCUCAAGUGCUGUUUAAUGGCGUGCCCUUUAAUAGAGACGAGAUGGAUGUUGAAGAGUUAGAGACAGUUAUUCUUCAGAGGAUUAUUGAUGCCACCAAGUUCUUCCAGCGGGCAGUGUUCAUGGGUUUGCUAAAUGAUCACAUGAAUGCAAUAGAUUUUCUUAUGGACCAGAACAACAUAGUUUCCCGUAUAAACCCCGCUAUUCUUGGAGCAGAAAGAAGAUACAUACCUUUCAGACCCACAUCCGUUCCAUUUGAUGUGGAAGACUUCUCUACUUUCUCCUUUUUGGACUCACAAGAUAAAAGUGCUGUAAUUUCAGACAACAUGAAGUAUUUAACAAAAAAGGAUGAAGACACAGUAUAUGCUGUUACUAUCUGGAUUAUUGCUGAUUUUGAUAAACCAUCUGGUAGACGACUGCUUUCUAAUGCCCUGAAAAGCCUGAAAACAAGCAGUCAUACACGAGUAGGGAUUUUGAACAAUCCUUCAUCAAAAAUAAAGGAAUCUAACACAGCCAUUGCAAGAGGAAUUUUGUCUGCUUUUCUAACACAAAAUAACAGCAACUUAAAAAGUUUCCUCAGUAAACUCAGUAAGGAAGAGACAGCAAAAUCCCUUGCUGCUGGAACUAAAAUUACUAAAUUCCUCAUCCCAGGAAUGGAUGGCAAUACUUUUGAGAAGAAGUACAACACUUUAGGACUGGAUUUAAUUAAAACCCACCAGAUGUUCUGCCAGGAGGUUCUUAAACUGCUUCCUGGGCAAAUGGCUGUUAUGAGCAAUGGCAGGGUACUGGGUCCUUUAGAUGAAAAUGAAUUCUAUGCAGAAGACUUUGAUUUGUUAGAAAAGAUAACAUACAGUACCUCUGCGGAGAAGAUUAAAGCUCUUGUCAAAGAGAUGGGAAACAGCAGUAAAAGUGGCAGUGAUUUGAUUAUGAAAAUAGAUGCCCUGCUGUCAUCUUUGCCUAAAACAGAGACGAGACAGGAUGCUGAAUUACUUAAAGAGCAGCACAGCGUAGUAAAAGUCGACCCCCAACAAAAUGAACCAUUCUAUGAUGUUAUUGCUAUUGUGGAUCCAUUGACAAGAGAAGCACAGAAGAUGUCUCAUUUAUUGAUUGUACUCAAGGACGUUAUCAAUAUGAAGCUCAGGUUAUUUUUGAAUUGCAAAUCUAAGCUGUCAGAACUGCCACUGAAGAGCUUCUAUCGGUUUGUUCUGGAACCAGAAUUAAGUUAUGGGAUUAACAAAAACCUUCCUUCUGAACCUGUGGCAAAAUUCCUAGAAUUGCCAGAAUCGCUUCUUUUGACUCUAAACAUGAUCACUCCAGAAAGCUGGUUGGUUGAAGCAGUAAACAGUUCCUGUGAUCUUGAUAACAUUCAUUUACAGGAGGUAAAAGGGGCAGUUAUAGCAGAAUAUGAACUGGAAUAUAUAUUGCUUGAAGGGCAUUGCUUUGAUGUGACAACUGGACAACCUCCUCGAGGGUUACAGUUCACUUUGGGCACAAAGAAUAAUCCUGUUGUGGUUGAUACUAUUGUGAUGGCCAACCUUGGAUAUUUUCAGCUGAAAGCAAAUCCAGGCGCUUGGACACUGAGGUUGCGUAAAGGAAGAUCUGAAGAGAUUUAUCAGGUUUUUUCCCAUGAAGGAACAGAUUCUGUUGCUGACCUGACAGACAUUAUUGUGGUGUUAAACAACUUCAGAAGCAAAAUUAUCAAAGUUCAAGUACAGAAAAAGCCUGAUAAAAUGAAUGAAGAUCUCCUUACAGAUGGAACAGGAAAAUAUGGAAAUCUGGAAUCAGUUACAAGAUUUUCAGAAGAAAUUCCAACAGAAGAGAAGGAAAAGAAAAGUGAUAUUCUUAACAUUUUUUCUGUUGCUUCAGGCCAUUUAUAUGAACGUUUUUUAAGAAUUAUGAUGCUUUCUGUCCUACGUCAUACAAAAACACCAGUUAAAUUUUGGUUUCUGAAAAACUACCUCUCCCCUACAUUUAAGGAUGUUAUUCCUCACAUGGCUAAAAAGUAUGGUUUCAACUAUGAGUUAGUACAGUAUAAGUGGCCCCGCUGGCUUUAUCAACAGACAGAAAAACAGAGAAUUAUCUGGGGCUACAAAAUUCUUUUCUUGGAUGUUCUUUUCCCUUUGGCUGUGGAUAAAAUAAUAUUUGUCGAUGCUGACCAGAUUGUGAGAAGUGACCUGAAAGAACUCAGAGAUCUAGAUCUAAAUGGAGCUCCCUAUGGAUACACACCUUUCUGUGACAGCCGAAAGGAAAUGGAUGGGUACCGUUUCUGGAAAUCAGGAUACUGGGCAUCACAUCUUGGGAAAAGGAAAUACCAUAUUAGUGCCUUAUAUGUUGUGGAUCUGAAGACGUUCAGAAAGAUUGCAGCUGGAGACAGGCUUCGGGGCCAGUACCAGGCUCUCAGUCAAGAUCCAAACAGUCUGUCAAAUCUAGAUCAGGAUCUCCCCAAUAACAUGAUUCAUCAAGUAGCCAUUAAGUCUCUCCCUCAGGAGUGGCUUUGGUGUGAAACCUGGUGUGAUGAUCAGUCCAAGAAAAAGGCUAAAACAAUAGACUUGUGCAACAAUCCCCAAACCAAAGAACCAAAAUUAGAGGCUGCUGCCCGGAUAGUUCCUGAAUGGGUUGACUACGACUCUGAGAUACGAAAGUUAAUACAGCAAAUUGAAAAAGAGAAGAAAAAUCUAACGUCGUUAUUUCAAAAAGGUCUUAAACAUGAUGAACUUUAGCACAGCCCUUGAACAACAAUGGUGACAACUCAAUAGUCUUCUGGAAAAGACUGAAGGGGAGUUACAAAUGUUACAAUGGCACUAUUUGCAACAUUCUUUAAUGUUAAGUCAAAUAUUUUAUAACUUAUAGUGUUAUUUAAAAUAUUUUAAAUGCAAUACAAAACCGAGAAAUCCACAGGUACUUGGGGUUGUGGCUUUUUUUACCCGGUGUGGAGUUUGGUUUUCUUUUCCUUCUUUAAAGUUCAGUUUGCCCAGAGGAUUUUAGAAUAUGAAGAAAGAGGUGUUCAACUUCUCAAAGAUACGUUGUCAGUCUGGGGGAGGACAUACACAUUAAAUAUGUACAUGAAAACUGGUUUGUGCAUAUUACAUGCAUUAAGUUUAUGUAUUAAGAGUUUUGGUUAUAUGUCUAUCGUUUUGUCCCUGGAGAACUGCUGUGGUCACAAGAAAGAAUCUCAGUGUAGCAAAGAUAAGACACAAAAAAUAACUUUAGUAAUUUAGACCACACAAAGAUAAGUCAACUUGGAAGCUAAAAACAAGGAAUGACACUUUUCAUUUAUUGUGCAGGAUUGCUGCACUCUUACAAAUUUUAAAAACUAAGUUUUGAUUCUUAGGCUCCUUUUGGUCACUUAAAGGGUGUGUCAUAAAAUUCCAUUAUGACUUUGGUUAAGGUGGUUUUCCAACUAGCACACGUUGCAUCAGAAGGUCAGUACCUGAAAGUUGUUUCUACUUGGUUUUGAUUAUCAUCAGCCUGUUUAAAACUGAAAAUAAAAUAAUAAAAUAUGUGAGUAUUUUUGAUUAUCAGUGGUGUUUCCUAUAAUUUUCUAAGUCUGUACUCACAAAACUGUUGCUUUAGUGGGCUACUGACAUUUUGAUCCCACAAAAAUUGCAGGGAAAAGUUCUUGCAAUACGCAUAUUUGAAAAGGAGGAAUUUAUGACUUAAACUGAAAUCUAGUGCCUUAAAUAUAUACUCUGUUGUUUAGGCUGUGCUGGUUUCAAAAUUGGACUGGAUGAGACCACAAAUUCUUAUAAGAACAACUUAAUGCAGUCUUUCAGUCUAAAUGCUUGAAAUUACGAAAGACAAGGCAAUUUGCACUAAGUGGGUGAAUCUACAGUGAGUUGCAUAGUAUUUCCAUACCAGCAAAUAACUGAAUAAACAAUAAGAGAAAUGAAGCCUCUUUUGUAUGUACUGUCAUUGUCCUCAGAUGUUGGUUGUUUACAAUGGAAGAGCAAGUAUUUUAAAUUAUGCCUUGCUGGUAUUUUUCAAUUCCUGUUACUAAGAACAUGAGAUAUGCAGAUUUUAAUUUUUUUACAGCUUUUUGUAUUUUUUGUUGUUUUACCUUUAUGCAUUUUGAACAGUUUUGACAUGUUGCAUACAUUUUUUUAAAUAUCUUUUGUGGGAUUUUCUUUGUAGGAAGCACCCAAUGGAGCAUUUCCCGUGUGACACACUAGCAGUAGUCAGUAAACUCUCAUGUCAGUUCCCUUUAACUGUCCCAUUUCAGUGCGGUAUCUGUUUUGUUAUGCUUGUUCUCUAACAUAAUUACGUCAGAAUAUCAGCCAGCAAGUCAAACAUACUGGAACAUAAACUUGGUAUUUUUAUACCAUAUAGAUGGACUUAAAAUUGACCUAGCAGAUGCAUAUGCACCAUUACUAUAAAUUCCAUGCAUAAGAAGGAAAUAACUGAUAUUCCAUAUUAGAGAAAAAAAAAACAUUAUUCAAAUGCUUGCUGCAUUAUUUUUUUCUUUUUCACUUCUUUUUUGAAGCUUAUACUUCCAUCCUGAUGUGUUACUCUGCAGCAGCAUUUCACAUCCCUCUGCCUUGGUCUCUCAUGCUUGGAGUGUACAUUGGAAAGCUUGUUUUAAGGCAGAAGUUAAUGGUUCUUCAUCUGUAAGAAACCUUAGUUCUCUUAUGGGUAUCUGUGUGGGAAGUUUCUGUUAUGCAAUAUAAAAAGUGGAUAGUUUAUGCACUGAUUUUGUGUUCAGGUUUUCUGUAGCAUCCUGUUCUUUUUUGAAUUGGAUUACUUCUACAGGCUUUAAAAAAGGAAAUAGCUGUUUAAAUACUAUUUCCUUGAGAUUACUUAAGUGAUUAGAAUAUAAUUUUUAGAAAUGCAAUUUGCUGGAGGUAUUUUCGAAGAUGUAAAAGGUGUCAUGCAAUUUCCUGCAGUGUUUUAUAUAUUUGUAAAAAAAUUUUUACAAUAUUUUUUUCUGCAUAAUACUACUUUCAAAGAAAGCUCUUUUUUUGAGAUUAUACAUUGGUUUAUAGAACAAGAAGGGUCCCACCAAUAUAUUCACUACUUGUUAAAGAUCUCUUGAAAGCAGCACUUUGAGUCAUUAGCAUAUAUUUUUAAUACCAAACCCAUGUAUUGUGUAUGUUGUACAAAAUAUUAAAAGGUGCCACUGGAGAAAAAAAAUAGUAUUAUUUUCUGUUCUCCAUCUUUGUAUUAUACAAUAGCCAUUAAAUACUUUGCUAGUAGAUCCAAAGCAAAAAAAUUGCAGCAAGUCCUUAAAUGCCUUUAACCUACAGAAAGUGUUUUUGCAGGGAAGCAACAGCAACAAGGGACCUGCUGCAGGGUGAGCACUUUCUUAAGAGAGGCAGACCAAGCUUAUUUGUUGUUUCCAAGCUGCAUGCUCUGCCCUAGGAGCGGUACUUGCCUCACUCUGAAACAUUGCAGAAUCAUAGAACCAUAGGAUACCAGGUUGGAAGGACCUCCAGGAUUAUCUGGUCCAGCCUUCCUUGGCAAAAGCACAGUCCAGACAAGAUGGCCCAGCACUCUGUCAGGAAGAGCUUUGUGUCUCCCUGGGGAGAUUAUUCCAAAGGCUGGUUGUUCUCACUGUGAAACUGGCCUUGAGUAGGGUUUCUACAAUUGCAGUAGUUGACUUCUAAACAUUCAAGUUUCUCUUACCACAGAAUGUGACUCCUCCCCCCUCUUCUCCCCUGCCUGCUGGCACUCCAGCAGCCUUGUACUGCAUUUCUGCACAGCUCUAACUCCAAACCUGCAGAGCAGGAUGAGCAAAGAAGGGCAGACAAACACACAGCAGUGCUUUCUUGUCAU